rnacentral:rRNA from 1 species
GAUAAACGCUGGCGGCGCACAUAAGACAUGCAAGUCGAACGGAAGUCGUUAUAAAACGGAUUGAAGAUUUAUCAGAUUGAAGUUUUAUAACAAUGGCUUUAGUGGCGGACUGGUGAGUAACGCGUAAGGAAUCUACCUGUUAGAGGGGAAUAACAAUGAGAAAUCAUUGCUAAUACCGCAUAUGCCAUAGUUAUCGCAUGAUAAUAGUGGGAAAGGAGCAAUCCGCUGACAGAUGAUCUUGCGUCUGAUUAGUUAGUUGGUGGGGUAAAGGCCUACCAAGACGACGAUCAGUAGCCGGACUGAGAGGUUGAACGGCCACAUUGGGACUGAGAUACGGCCCAGACUCCUACGGGAGGCAGCAGUCGGGAAUAUUGCGCAAUGGAGGAAACUCUGACGCAGUGACGCCGCGUAUAGGAAGAAGGUUUUCGGAUUGUAAACUAUUGUCGUUAGGGAAGAAAAAAGACAGUACCUAAGGAGGAAGCUCCGGCUAACUACGUGCCAGCAGCCGCGGUAAUACGUAGGGAGCAAGCGUUAUCCGGAUUUAUUGGGUGUAAAGGGUGCGUAGACGGGCGAUCAAGUUAGUUGUGAAAUCCCUCGGCUCAACUGAGGAACUGCAACUAAAACUGGUUGUCUUGAGUGCAGGAGAGGUAAGUGGAAUUCCUAGUGUAGCGGUGAAAUGCGUAGAUAUUAGGAGGAACACCAGUGGCGAAGGCGACUUACUGGACUGUAACUGACGUUGAGGCACGAAAGUGUGGGGAGCAAACAGGAUUAGAUACCCUGGUAGUCCACACCGUAAACGA